CACAAUGACAUUUCUGGACAUACCCCGAACUCUGAAAUUUGCAGCGUUAGGAUGUUUUUUUAUGGCUGGUGUGGAAGUUAUCAAGACAGGCCCAUCUACUUCACGAAAGGUUCUAUUGUACACUCUCAUGGACAUUGCAUACUUGGUAUCAUGUGCUGCGACAUGUUCUGUAUAUAUAUCAGAAAUAUAUUACGUUUUCUGCAACGACACUGCAGGCAUUAGAUGGACUGAAAGUCAAGUUUUCGACGUCGCCUUCAUCUUGGUGUUCUGCGUCGCUAUGGUGGUGUUGUGUGCCAUAUUUAUCGAGCGACGAGUUAGAGGCGCAUGCGUGCCAGGUAUCAUAUGCGUUGUUCACGGCAUGAUUCUUUCAACGUCAAUAAGUGACGUUUUUCAGGCAGUCGAAUAUGAGUACU
rnacentral:lncRNA from 1 species